rnacentral:rRNA from 1 species
GACGAACGCUGGCGGCGUGCUUAACACAUGCAAGUCGAGCGAUGAAGCUACUUCGGUAGUGAAUUAGCGGCGAACGGGUGAGGAACACGUGAGGAAUCUGCCUUCAACACUGGGAUAACUCCGGGAAACCGGGGCUAAUACCGGAUACGAGCUCUGACCGCAUGGUCGGGGCUGGAAAGUUUUUCGGUUGAAGAUGACCUCGCGGCCUAUCAGCUUGUUGGUGAGGUAAUGGCUCACCAAGGCGACGACGGGUAGCCGGCCUGAGAGGGCGACCGGCCACACUGGGACUGAGACACGGCCCAGACUCCUACGGGAGGCAGCAGUGGGGAAUAUUGGGCAAUGGAGGAAACUCUGACCCAGCGACGCCGCGUGCGGGAAGAAGGCCUUCGGGUUGUAAACCGCUUUCAGUAGGGAAGAAGCGAAAGUGACGGUACCUACAGAAGAAGCGCCGGCUAACUAUGUGCCAGCAGCCGCCGUAA